AUCAGCUGAAGAAUCCCAAAUAGGACGGAAUGUGCGUCCUAGAU
rnacentral:hammerhead_ribozyme from 1 species